UAAAUAUCACAGUUCACUCACAUUUAAGACAUUCAAAAGGAUAAUAUUGUCAGCUUUUCAGUGAACUGAUGAGGGAAAUGGCAAUCAAAUUAGUUUUGUUCUGUUUGUGUUUCUGGCGUCUGGAUGAUGUGUUUGGUCAGGAAAUGAAGAUAGUGAAACCAGGAGAUUCAGUCACUCUGAACUCUGGUCUUACUGAAAUGAAGAAUGAUGAGGAGAUACAGUGGAGGUUGGAAAAUGAAAACACAUUAUUGGCUAAAAUCAUUAAACGGGUCGAAUGCAUGACUGUAUAUGAUGAUGUUCUUGAUGGGAGAUUCAUAGACAGACUGAAGCUGAACAAAAAAACUGGAUCUCUGACCAUCACAAACACCAGAUAUGAACAUUUUGGAGAUUAUAAACUGGAGAGAAAAGGGUGGGAAAGGAAGAGUUUCUAUCUUAUUAUCAUUGGUGAGUUAAAUUAAGUUCUAUAUUUUAAUUGUAAGACCAAAAUUCCUCAUAAAACUGAACAGAAGAUUGUCCACAAAAACAGAUACCAUGCAACAAAAGAACAAUGCUACAAAUCCUGAGAAGAGAUCACCAAUAAGGGACACAAAAAAUCAUUUGAAUCCUUCAAACUGGAGGACCGUGAAUGAACGGAGCAUAUGAUGAAAUAUCAGUGAAGAUGGGAGAUUCACUCACUAUAAACUCUGGGCUUACUGAAAUGAAGGAUGAUGAUGUGAUUCAGUGGAGGUUUGGAUAUACUGAAAACACUUUACUAGCUGAAAUCAAUAAACAGACCGACAGCAUGACUGUAUAUGAAGAUGUUCUUGAUGGGAGAUUCAGAAACAGACUGAAGCUGAACAAUCAAACUGGAUCUCUGACCAUCACAAACACCACAACUGAAGAUGCUGGAAUUUGUCUACUACAGAUUAACAAUGAGAAAAAGAUGUUCCUUCUCGCUGUCUAUGAUGAAAUAUCAGUGAAGGAGGGAGAUUCACUCACUCUUAACUCUGGUCUUACAGAAGCUUUUUUAGUUGCGUGGAGGUAUAUGAAUGAAUUUAUAAUCAAUUAUGUAAACUUUUUUUCUGAGUCUAUCACUGUAUAUGAUGAUGUUCUUGAUGGGAGAUUCAGAAACAGACUGAAGCUGGACAAACAAACUGGAUCUCUGACCAUCACAAACAUCACAACUGAAGAUGCUGGAAAUUAUAUACAAUUUAGUUUUGGACAAAAACUGUUAUUAAAAGCUUUCAGAGUUUCUGUCUAUGGAGAGUAGACAGCAGAUUCAGAAGAGCUGAACAAGAGCAAGCACAUAUUCACAUAUCAGAAACAUAAAGGAUGAUGUUAUUUCUUAGAUUAUUCCUCUGAUAUCGAUGUGGUUAAUUUUCAAAUUCUCAUAUAUGCUCAAGUGUCAAAUGCAAGUGUUUGUCAUGGUCAAUACUGAAGAUUACCAAAGAUUCUCGCAUUCAGUAAUUUUUCAUAUUUGAUUUCAAAUGUUCCUCUCUUGCAGUGUUAUUAUUGUACACUUUCAGUUUGAAGGCUUUGUUUAUAUGUCUGUCUUAUUAGACACACAGAUCUCACUUUUCUGUCCAUUUGUCAUCUGUAUUUGCUUGCCUUUACCAAUAAAGUGUUCUCGCUCUGAG